CACGGCCCGCUGUGGGGAAGGGGCCGGGCUCCUGGCCUCCAAAUCGUUGUUAAACGGCUGAGCUGUGGAGAACUGGCCCCUGCAGCGCAGCGUCUACACCGCCGGCUCCGGUUUCAGACCUGAGAGCGAGCGAAAGGUCCCACGCUGUGGUUCUGCGGCCUCUCGAAGCUGCUUACUUCAACUUCACCUCUGCCACCGCCACGUACCCGGCACAGGAGGGCAGACAGGCAAUGCUGGGCUGGGUUGGCCUGACGACCCUGCCCUCCAUCGGGAUCCCGCUGCUGCUGCGGUAGAGCAGGAGAAAGCAUGGCACCCCCAAGGCCAAGAAGAAGGGAGCAAAGCCCAGUGCCAGCCCGGGGAGCGAGCCGACAUCGACCCCCGCAGAGCUGCAGGGGUGUUUGGAUCAGCAACAGCCUGCAAAAGCGCUGCCGGGGCUACGCUUCGGCCCCGUCACGUCGAUGGCAGUGCUGUGUUGCUUCCUCCCUGGUAAAAAAAAAAAAAGAGGAAGAAAAGCCACCAAAAAGCUGCCAGCCA